rnacentral:rRNA from 1 species
CACGUAGGGGGCGAGCGUUGUCCGGAUUUAUUGGGCGUAAAGAGCUCGUAGGCGGUUCGGCAAGUCGGGUGUGAAAUUUCGAGGCUCAACCUCGAAACGCCACUCGAUACUGCUGUGACUGGAGUCCGGUAGAGGAGUGCGGAAUUCCUGGUGUAGCGGUGAAAUGCGCAGAUAUCAGGAGGAACAGCCAACGGCGAAGGCAGCACUCUGGGCCGGUACUGACGCUGAGGAGCGAAAGCGUGGGGAGCAAACAGG